ensembl:lncRNA
CGCCAACCCCGGGACCCUGGGCGGCCUGCUGGCUGCAGCCUUGGCCGAGGCUGUCCCUAACAAAUGCCCUGCAGGGAGGGCGGUCCGGAGGAUCUUUGGGGCAGCUGUUGUGCAUUUCUUGCUUUGCCUGAGAAUUUUCUUUAGGUUGGGGAGGAACGCUCCCAAAGCGCAGCGUCAACAGGCCUGGUUUAGGGAGGUGCUAUGCUUUUGCCCUUGUGGGAAGGCGCCCACCGCUGGGACGGGGCGAACACUGUGGAGUGGGGUUCGGUCUUGGUGAUCAUAGGUGAGGGAAGUUUGCCACCUAGAGCCGGGCCGUGGAAGUGAGAACGUGUGUGUCCGAAGCUCUUUCUCGGGCUCAAAGGGACAAGGUUGUCAACAAAUCGUAACGGGACUUACUUUGAUUUGAAAAUUCACAGAAAGUCGUUGGUAGUCAUUGCGGGAGUCUACGUGAUAUUUCCGAAAUAGGAAACAUCUUCAUAUAUUAUUUUUCCACACAAAUUUGCUAAAUAAGUGCGAUCAAAUGUUUGCAUGUUUGUAAAUGAAUAGAAAGCAUUUUAAGAAUGUGUCUCUUGGCAUUACAGGCAUUGCCCUUGUAUGCCCAUGCUCUUAUUGCAAUGUCUAUUUUAGGCACAAAUAGCCCGGAUGCCAGUGCAGAACAUUUCAGAGUAUCUCGUGAAGCCUUCGAAACUUUAUUCUAAAUUAUUUUCAAAGGGUCUGCCUUUGGCUUUCUGAGAAGUGCCUCGUGAAGAUUAGGAAUCCUGCAUUACAAGAUUAGUCUUUUAUUUGAGGGGAUAGGCACCAUGCUCCACAAUCCUACAAAAGAGCUGCAGAAGACUAAAAAAAGAAGUUCUUCGGAACUGUUCUGUGUGCUGUUGGCCUUGUGACACGCCUGUCUGUAACCAUUUAUCACUGGGACAUUUUCUCAUCAGUAGACAAAGGAUAUAUUCCCUACUUGGCGUGUAGGGCUUCAGCUGCUCAGCCUCAUGAAUGUUAAUGGGAAUACAACCUUCUUUCUGCAUAUAGGUUACUUUUCUAUUUUAAUGUCAAUGGGCAGUGGAAUCCUUGUGAGAGCCUGGGUGAUGAAGUUUCCAGCACUUGCACACAACUGCUACCUAAUUAUUUGCAGCAAAGAAUGCCUGCUGGCUUCAAAGCAUGUUUCACUCUUGGAUGUACUCCAUGGGAUACACAGCAAAAGUAGUGAAGCCUUCCCUCCUCCCAUGAAAACUAGUGAAUCUGACAAUGAUACAUGCUGAUCAAUGAGCAGCCUGUUAAGAAAAAAAUGUAUAGAAAGUCAUUUCUUUGAUUUGCUGUUUUGAAAAGGACAUGUUUUCCUUUGGAGUGAUUUUCACUUCUAAAUCUAAUCUAUUAUUUUGUAGGAGAAACAAUUUGUGUUAACUGGAACUUGAUUAACUUCCUUGUAAUACUCUGUCCUUAAGCUCAUGCUGAUGAUUUGGUUAGAUAGCACAACAUCAAUAAGUGAAUGUUUGUUUUAUAAAAGUUUCUAAAUCUUAGUAUUUUAAUCAUUUCUUUGAAAGAUAAAAAUUUUACUGUAUCAGUACACUAAAGAAAAUUUCUUGGGUGUUACUUUUGGUUUUGUGAAAGAUAUUUGCAUAGGUUUUAUAAUUAAUGCUGAUGGUGAAGAAAACAUUAGUUUCAGAAACAUGGUUUUUUUGGUAUAAAAAUACUGUGGUUGCUGCUAAGGCAAAACCAUAAUAACAACACAUAAUCUAUUCUAAUAAAAUUGAUG